CCCCUUUUCUUUUGCAAAAUUGCGCCUAUAUCACCCCUCGCCGGUUUCGACCGGCUAUGGUGAUAAACUGCGGCGUGCAAUAGAUGCAGCGGACCCGGGGGCGGUACCCGGCGGCUCCACCAUCACUACCCGGACCUGUGCCGGGGCCUCGUUGUCGCGAGGGUGUUGAUGGGGCCGAACUAGGAUCGACGUGUGUUGAAAAGCGCUGUUUUUGCCCGGGCUGAGUAACCCGUAUAAGGCUCAAAACUCAUAAGUGCCAACGACAACGAAGCACUUGCUCUGGCUGCGUAAUUCUAGGCCUUAACGGGCUGAAGUUACAAACCUAGAACACGGUUGAACCCACCGGGUAACAGAAGGGAAUUCGGGGGCCCGGGGCGGGCCUAGCAACAGAACCGCCCCACC
rfam:Novosphingobium sp. SCN 63-17 ABT10_C0019, whole genome shotgun sequence.